GGCAGGGAGUUCCUCGAGCCAUCGACGGGCGGUGUCGGAGAGGAAAAGGGGUAGCUGUCUGAUGAUGGCUCGAUCAUCACCUCGAGCGCCACCUAGGUGACAGGCCAGCCUGAAGUCGGCCAGCCACAACUCUGGUUUGGUCUCUCCAUUGUACUUCGCGAUGCUGGUCGGGGGUCGAAAUGGAUUGGGCAGGGGCGUGCUGC
rnacentral:lncRNA from 1 species